rnacentral:lncRNA from 1 species
AACUUGCCAAAGCAUGUACGCAUGAGAACAAAGAAUUGCGUCCAAGUAUGCAAUCUAUUGUGGUCGCCUUGAUGACGCUCUCAUCCUCAACUGAGGAUUGGGAUGUUGGAUCCUUAUAUGAAAAUCAAGCGCUCUCACCCUCAACUGAGGAUUGGGAUGUUGGAUCCUUAUAUGAAAAUCAAGCGCUCUCACCCUCAACUGCGGAUUGGGAUGUUGGAUCCUUCUGUGAAAGAGAAAGUCAAUCGUCAAGCGUCAAUCUGAUGUCGGGAAGUCAGAAUCUACAAGUGCAUUGUUGUGUUUAGCAUUAGGAAGUUUC